UUCAGCGUGGCGCAGUGGCUAACACUUUUGCCUUCCACGUAGGAGGUCAAGGGUUCGAAACUUUUUGGGGCAA